rnacentral:rRNA from 1 species
UACGUGGGGUGCGAGCGUUGUCCGGAAUUAUUGGGCGUAAAGAGCUCGUAGGCGGCUUGUCGCGUCGGAUGUGAAAGCCCGGGGCUUAACUCCGGGUCUGCAUUCGAUACGGGCAGGCUAGAGUUCGGUAGGGGAGAUCGGAAUUCCUGGUGUAGCGGUGAAAUGCGCAGAUAUCAGGAGGAACACCGGUGGCGAAGGCGGAUCUCUGGGCCAAAACUGACGCUGAGGAGCGAAAGCGUGGGGAGCGAACAGG